GAAAGCAAAAGAAUCUCAGACGAACUGCUGCUGCACGUGAACAAAUCAGUCCCAGACAGUGCCAUGAGAGGUUGUGAGCCAGGUGAUAUGGUGAAAAAAUGCCUGCUGGUGUAAUAUUGAUGAGUGAAAUAAUGGAAAUGGGCACUACAGAUAAACCACAGUGCCACAAAAAUGCACAGAAACUGCAAAUGGAAAGCUGCUGAGAUGCUGAUCUGGAGAUUUAUAAAGCUCUUCCUGGGCACAACAUGCUAGUUACCUUCCAGCUGAGCACGAGCCGCCAGCCCUUCAGAACCUAGCAGGGAAUAAAUAGGCAUUUGCAACGUGAAAUACGGUAUCUAUCAUGUAAGUAAAAGCCCAUAUAAACUUAUUGCAUCAUUACCACGUGCAAGUAGCUACAACCAGGAGCACCGUGUCUCCUGCCUCGGCUGAUGCUGAAGUUUCAAAACACUGGAGCCUGGGUAAUAUUUUUAACGAGACGGAAUGACAGUUUUAAUAAUUCCCAGGUCCCAAACACGUAUGAAACGAGCCCUUGAUGAGAAAGGUCUGAUUACAAAUAACCUGCAGAGAGAUGAAAGUUCGCUUUUAAUAUCUGUUUUUUUAAGUCUGAUUUAGACUUUCAAGAGGCUUCAAAAGAAGGCAAAGACUAGAAAACAGUUUGAUUUUAUACUGUUAGAUGUGUGAAAUAAAAUGCUGGACAAUAAGAGAUGUAAAACAGGCAACAAGUGCAAAUGACUUAAAUCAAAUUAAAGAGCUAAUUGAAAAUAAUGGAAUUAAAACCUUUCUUGCUUGUUUUUAUUCAUCUGUUUUUCAUCACUGUUUGCAAUAGCACUUUUUUAAUCUUUUUUUUUACUUUGAAGAACAAACUUUCUCGGCCAUGAAAGUCAAUGAUUUUAAUCGGUAUCUGAAAUGUCAUUCUAUGGGGAUGUAGAUGCUAAAUGCCAGUCAGGAAGAGAAGCACCACCAACAUUGACCAGCAGGACAGCCAGAGCUCUGCACGGCCUUUGUCUGUAGAGCUUUCCCAUACAACAUCAUGAUACUGAGUUACUUUAUGUCCCAUUAUAGUGGUCCUCUCCAACGCACUUUUGCUUUAAUUCUCUGUACUCUCUAAAAGUAAUAGCCUUUUCUCUAUUGUAGCAUACACGCUCUUACACCUUCACCUCUGCAAACCUCUGCCUCUGGUGAGUAACCACAAGGUAAGAGCAAGCUGAAAUCCCAAAUCUGUUCAGCUUGAGAAGAGUUUUUGCUCAGAUCACCCCAUAUGGAGUUACAAUAUUGAUUUUUAUUUCAAAAAAGGACUUGUGUGUUUAAACUGAAGAGAAAUGAGUGUCACAUUAGACUACGUCUGUGUUUUUCUUCUCAUAAUAGUAAAGGAGUGAUUCCUCAGCAGUGGGAUUGGUGCGAAGGCAAAUUUCCCUGUGCUAUAGGGACACACUCCUUUGUGUUCCCACUGCAGUGCCACUGUUGCGUGGGAGAGCAGGCAUCCCAGCAGGAGUGCAACUAUCCUAUGAUUCUUCCCUGUUUCACUUUUCUGACCCUCUGCAGUGCCAUUGUCCUGCCAGGUUGACACCUCUUUGCUCUUCUGUCUCUGCUCCAGAGCCCGGCACAUCUCCUCUGCGUUCCCUCAGCCGCUUUCAAUCUCCAGGGCAGGAACCUCUUUGCAAACACGUAUUCAUCCAAAGCGUCUCUGAAGGCCAGAAGUCUUGGAGUGCUUGGGAAAAUGCUUCGACAGUAGGAAAAAAAGGUGAUCAGGCACUGGCAGAGGCUGUCCAGGAAGGUGGUUGAGUCACCAUCCCGAGAGAUAUUUAAAAGGUAGCACUGAUGGCAUACGGCACCGCCGUGCUUAUCACAGCCGCUGCACAUUCCCCUCACCACCAGCAUGCAGGAGAGAUGGCAAAAACCGAGCUUGAAGGGACUCUAAAUUUCUGGAAUGCUUCCGAUUUACCUGGUGUGGUGGUGGAAGGUUCAGAGUCAGAAGGGAUUUCUGGAGAACCACUUUCAGGUGAAGAAAGGCACAAGACCUGCUCCUGCUGAGGCUGUUCCCGGUCUCUCCAUCCCGAAGGCACCUCCCCAUCACUACUGAGCCCACAGGAAAGCGAUAGCCGAAUUCCCACUGCUUCAGUGUCUUCCUUGCCUCCAGAUCCAUCCAUGGUUUUCCAUAGCAUUUCUGGAUAAAAAUAAUUAAAUUCAGCAAAUAAAAUCCCAGACCCAUGGCAGCGUGGCCGUCAGGAGGAAACCAGCUGUACCCGCUUGAACUCGGUCAGCCUCCGCGCAGUGCUGCAGAACCAAUGCAUUACCUCAGAAGGGGCACCAGAACGAAAGCCUGGAGCUGCUGCCAACCCUGGAGCUGAAACGCCGCUCAAUUAAGAGUGAUGGUAUUGCUGCAAAGGAAAGAAAAAUCUUCUCUCCAAAAUGACUGCAAAGAGCAGGUCUCUGCAAUUCCUUCUUUAACACUGAAGGGAGUUCAACCUGUGUUAUUUGCGCGGCGUUUCUGAAUGGUUUGGUCAACAUCUUCUCCCAUGGACUGUUUUUUAAAUAGAAAAGUAUGGAAGAUUUCUAAGAACGUCUAAAAAGGAAAACCAGUUUUGUUCUGUGACUCUACAAAAAUCUCUCUGAGGACUGGUAAUAUAUUUUGCCAGGGCAAUGUUCCUAUUCCAGGGGUGGUUUUUCUCUUCUCAGCAUUUGUUGCUUUUCUUUUAAUGUAAGCCACACAGGGAAAUAUUGGCAAAUGGAGAAGGAAAAUAUAAUUAACCCUGUGUUUUUCAGACAAUUGCCCUUUGGGCCACUUUGUUUUUAUUUUUUCUAACUUUAUGAAGCCAUCAUUAAUCUAGUCAGCCAAGGUCAGACGAGACUUUUUUCUUCUUUGCAGACCCUAAAGCUUAUAAAGCUUCAAUCUACCCUUCCAUAACCAAAUGUUUAGUACCUACCGCUUGGGUUAAUUAGAGUGCAUUUGUUACUGCUCUGAUAAUAAUCACUACUACGCCAUCAUUGGCAGUGGCUCGAGGCUAUUUUUUCAUUUGUUAUUUCUUUUUAACAGCAAGCAUUUAUGCAGUCACAGUACCUAAACCGCUGGUUCUCUUGGGUUCAGCCAAGGGUCCAUGCAAUGGAAUGAUACAUGGAAAUAUCAAGUUCCAGAGAAUAAGAGCAUCACCCAUGCUCGUGACAGUUCCCAAACCAAAUGCAGCACAGCAUCGUGGAUAUACCUCAAAAACAGCGCUUCCCCAGGCAGCGUUUGCUCAGGACGAGGAACUUCGGAAGGUGCUGACUCAGCGGGCUGAGGGCGGGGAUGCCCGGUGGAGGACUACGUGAUAGGGAGCAUGGGAAUCUUUGUUAGUUUUCUUCCUUUCCAUAGGGAUGUAAAGCCUUAGCUCCUCCCUUCUCCAUUGCAUUGUGUGCGCUGGCUGCAAGGGUGAGUGAUCCCUGAGUGCCGGUGGUGCUCGAUUGAUGUAGGGAGCCUUGGAGAACAGCUCAGAUGGAGAUACUUGUACUUCAAGACUUCUACGUGGUGUUAUCUGAGUCCACCGAGGCAGCAGAAUUGUGUCUAACAAAGGUGAAAACACCACCUCUCCAGAUAAGACAGAUUUUUCUGAACAAAAAGAACAAGUGGGAAGUUUAGCGAGUCCGGCUGGGUCGAAGCCAGCAAUCCCCAAGGGGCUGUUACACACCUAGCUGGAAUGAGUUUUCCUUAAGUUCCAAUUAGCCUGUUCUCCAUGGCAGAGGGUGCUUUCAUCCUCCUAGUUGGAUGUUCAACUGCCACGGUCAUUUCACCCUAACAGAAAAGGAGAUUUCUUUCCUCCUUUGGAAGCUCUCCUGCCUCUGGUGCUUAGCUCAGCUCCUCGCUGCAGGUUGCUCUGGCCAGCAGGCCUCUCCAAACGUGGAAUUUUACAUAUAAAUUACCAAGGAAGAACAAAGUCUCCAGGCCUCUGGUGGUGUAAGAAUGCAGCUGGGCACAGCAGUGACACUUCCAUGGCAUGCUGAUCUCCUGGUCCUUCUCACCUCGGCAUUGCUGCCCAGCACCUUCACCUUUCUGGCCUUAGGCGCUCCUUGGGUGCAAGUUUUCUGAGUCAUCAAUAAAAACACUUGGUCUGAUCAAAGGAAAAACCUUUUAUGAUUAGUUUUUGCCUCCCUGGUGUGAGGGAACAGCUGAUCAAGGAGCUGCAGGGGCUUGAUUUUUGGGUAACCUCCCCCAGUAUCUCCCACAGGUUUGGCAAAUCUCCAAAUGCCUUACUUCACCGAAUCAAGCCUCUUCAUCUUAAGACAUAUGUAGCCUCUACUAUGUAACGCUGCCUCCUGAGCACGAUCCACGGGGCCUGUUUUUUUAACACCCAAGAUUCAUUAAUAUUUCCUGCAGAGUGUUCAAUAAGUAGUGAAUAAAGCAGGAAGUGUCCCAGAUGUUGGGAAGAAAAAAUGGAAUUAUUCAUUGCUUACUAACGUCAAAUGCUAAUGUGAGAAAAGCAUCCUUGAAGAAAUCCUUGACUAAAAUUCAUCAGUGAUGUGAAAUCACUGUUUUAAUUAUGCAUUUUUGAAUGUAUUUAUUAGUCUCGGUUCUGAUCUGACUUACAGAUGUUUAACAGUGAUAAGGGUCUACUGCAGCCUUUGGAAUUACUCAUGAUUUAUAAUGACAAAACUUGGAUCAGAAUUAGGUCCUUGUCACUACUCUAUAAUAUCCUUUCAUCAAACUUCUUCACAUUCAACAGAUGAAAGAGACAGCGGUUUCCGCAAUUUCAAACCCUACCGCUGAGUCCCUUAGCUUGGUUUUUUUUUAUAUUUCUCCUCCAGAAAUGAUGAUUCUCACUCAAAAUUUUGUCUGCUUGAGUUAUAUUUCAUUGAAUCAUAGAAUGGUUUGGGUUAGAAGUGACCUCAAAGCCCAUCCAGUCCCACCCCCUGCCAUGGGCAGGGACACCUCCCACUGGAUCAGGGGCUCCAAGCCCCAUCCAACCUGGCCUGGAACCCCUCCAGGGAUGGGGCAGCCACCACUGCUCUGGGCACCCUGGGCCAGGGCCUCCCCACCCUCAUCGUGAAUAAUUUCCUCCUAAUGCCUCCUCUAAAUCUUCCCCCUUCCAAUUUAAAGCCAU